rnacentral:rRNA from 1 species
UACGGAGGGUGCGAGCGUUAAUCGGAAUUACUGGGCGUAAAGCGCGCGUAGGCGGUUUGUUAAGUCAGCUGUGAAAGCCCCGGGCUCAACCUGGGAACUGCAGUUGAUACUGGCCGACUGGAGUGCGAGAGAGGGAGGUAGAAUUCCAUGUGUAGCGGUGAAAUGCGUAGAUAUCAGGAGGAACACCAGUGGCGAAGGCGGCUUUCUGGACGGUAACUGACGCUGAGGCGCGAAAGCGUGGGGAGCAAACAGG